rnacentral:rRNA from 1 species
UAAUACGAAGGGUGCAAACGUUGCUCGGAAUUAUUGGGCGUAAAGCGCACGUAGGCGGCUUGGCAAGUCGGAUGUGAAAUCCCUCGGCUCAACCAAGGAAGUGCAUCCGAAACUGCUGAGCUUGAGUACUUAAGAGGAUCGCGGAAUUCCCGGUGUAGAGGUGAAAUUCGUAGAUAUCGGGAGGAACACCAGUGGCGAAGGCGGCGAUCU